rnacentral:rRNA from 1 species
GAUGAACGCUGGCGGCGUGCCUAAUACAUGCAAGUCGAGCGAACAGACGAGGAGCUUGCUCCUCUGACGUUAGCGGCGGACGGGUGAGUAACACGUGGAUAACCUACCUAUAAGACUGGGAUAACUUCGGGAAACCGGAGCUAAUACCGGAUAAUAUAUUGAACCGCAUGGUUCAAUAGUGAAAGACGGUUUUGCUGUCACUUAUAGAUGGAUCCGCGCCGCAUUAGCUAGUUGGUAAGGUAACGGCUUACCAAGGCAACGAUGCGUAUCCGACCUGAGAGGGGGAUCGGCCACACGGGAACUGAGACACGGUCCAGACGCCUAAGGGAGGCAGCAGUAGGGAAUCUUCCGCAAUGGGCGAAAGCUUGACGGAGCAACGCCGCGUGAGUGAUGAAGGUCUUCGGAUCGUAAAACUCUGUUAUUAGGGAAGAACAAAUGUGUAAGUAACUAUGCACGUCUUGACGGUAACUAAUCAGAAAGCCACGGCUAACUACGUG